rnacentral:misc_RNA from 1 species
GCGGCCAACUUUUUGUUUAGAGAGCUUGCGCGCUUGAACUUCAAAUGCAUUGCAUGAAAAAUAGACAUCGGCGAGGUAAUCGCAAUGUCAGCAACCGCAUGGCGAGAAUAUCUUUUUUUUUGAUUUUUUUUUUAUUUUUUGCAUUAGUGUUGUUGUUUGUAAUUGAAAUUGUGUUUGUUGUAUGAGGUUAUAUGUAGUUGUUGCGUUUUGUAUUGCGUUUGCGUUCACAUUUGUCGCUGGCUGUUUUGUAUAUCGUAGUAUAACAGUUCUAGCUGCCCCGUCGGUCGGUUUCAGUCGUUUGUUGGUUACGACGAAUUUUCAUUUUAUAUCGAACAGCGCAGCAGUGACGACGAUAAAGUCUGUGUGUGGUGCUUUUUGUUAGUAUCUCUCGCGGCGCACAAAGAAAAAAAAAUAUUGUAUACACCCAGAAAAUAUAUUUAAAAAAAAAAAAUAUAUAUAUAUAUAAAUUUAUCAAACUUCAGUUCAAGCUAUGUUGUAAGCUGCAGCUCAGCGUCAUUUGCAGUUCGUGUAGCAGAGUGUAAAACACUUGCGCUCUCUCUCUCUCUCUCUCCUUUUUCUCUCAG